rnacentral:rRNA from 1 species
GUGGGGAAUCUUGCGCAAUGGGCGAAAGCCUGACGCAGCCAUGCCGCGUGAAUGAUGAAGGUCUUAGGAUUGUAAAAUUCUUUCACCGGGGACGAUAAUGACGGUACCCGGAGAAGAAGCCCCGGCUAACUUCGUGCCAGCAGCCGCGGUAAUACGAAGGGGGCUAGCGUUGUUCGGAAUUACUGGGCGUAAAGGGCGCGUAGGCGGACAGUUUAGUCAGAGGUGAAAGCCCAGGGCUCAACCUUGGAAUUGCCUUUGAUACUGGCUGUCUUGAGUACGGGAGAGGUGAGUGGAACUCCGAGUGUAGAGGUGAAAUUCGUAGAUAUUCGGAAGAACACCAGUGGCGAAGGCGACUCACUGGCCCGUUACUGACGCUGAGGCGCGAAAGCGUGGGGAGCAAACAGGAUUAGAAACCCGGGUAGUCC